AAAAGGAAUUUGCUUAAUUGCACCACAUGUGUUUUUCUUUGAAACAAACUUGCUUUGGCGGUGGGCCCAGCCUGCCGCCAGAGGUCUAAACUUACAACCAAUUUUUUAUCAACUUGUCACACCAGAUUAUUACUUAAUAGUCAAAACUUUCAACAACGGAUCUCUUGGUUCUCGCAUCGAUGAAGAACGCAGCGAAAUGCGAUACGUAAUAUGAAUUGCAGAUAUUCGUGAAUCAUCGAAUCUUUGAACGCACAUUGCGCCCUCUGGUAUUCCGGAGGGCAUGCCUGUUUGAGCGUCGUUUCUCCCUCAAACCGCUGGGUUUGGUGUUGAGCAAUACGACUUGGGUUUGCUUGAAAGACGGUAGUGGUAAGGCGGGAUCGCUUUGACAAUGGCUUAGGUCUAACCAAAAACAUUGCUUGCGGCGGUAACGUCCACCACGUAUAUCUUCAAACUUUGACCUCAAAUCAGGUAGGACUACCCGCUGAACUUAAGCAUAUCAAUAAGCGGAGGAA
rnacentral:rRNA from 1 species